rnacentral:rRNA from 1 species
GGGUGAGUAAAAUGUGGGUAAUCUGUCUUCCAGAGGGGGAUAACCCGGCGAAAGCUGGGCUAAAACCGCGUAACGUUUAGAUUGCCAAGGUGAUUUAAAUCAAAACAUGGCCUCUAUUAAUAAGCCAUGGCUGGGAGGUGAGCCCACAUCCUAUCACGCUUGUUGGUGGGGUAAAGGCCUACCAAGGCGACGACGGGUAGCCGGCCUGAGAGGGUGUCCGGCCACACUGGAACUGAGACACGGUCCAGACUCCUACGGGAGGCAGCAGUGGGGAAUUUUUCGCAAUGGGCGCAAGCCUGACGAAGCAACGCCGCGUAGAGGAUGAAGGCCCUCGCGGUCGUAAACUCUUGUCUAGCGGGACGAAAGUUCACAAGAAGAAUAAGCUUGUGGAUUGACUGUACCUCUGGAGGAAGCUCCGGCCAACUCCGUGCCAGCAGCCGCGGUAAUACGGAGGGAGCAAGCGUUACUCGGAAUUACUGGGCGUAAAGGGCGCGUAG